AUGCCAGAGCUUGCUUCUGGUUAUCUAGGUGGCGAACGGGUGAGUAACGCGUGGGGAACCUGCCCUCGAGAUGGGGAUAACACUUCCAACGAGGUGCUAAUACCGAAUGUGACCACGUCAUCGCAUGGUGAUGUGGUGAAAGGAUGGCCUCUGCUUGCAAGCUAUCGCUCGAGGAUGGUCCCGCGUCCCAUUAGCUUGUUGGUGAGGUAACGGCUCACCAAGGCCGCGAUGGGUAGCUGGUCUGAGAGGAUGGUCAGCCACACUGGGACUGAGAUACGGCCCAGACUCCUACGGGAGGCAGCAGUCGAGAGGCUUCGGCAAUGGGGGAAACCCUGACCGAGCGACGCCGCGUGCGCGAUGAAGGCCUUCGGGUUGUAAAGCGCUGUCAUGCGGGAAGAAGGGUCCAGCGGCAAACAGUCGAGGGACCGUGACGGUACCNNAGAAGGAAGCUCCGGCUAACUCCGUGCCAGCAGCCGCGGNAAUNCGGGGGGAGCGAACGUUGUUCGGAAUUACUGGGCGUAAAGGGCGCGCANGCGGCCUCGUAAGUGGGAUGUGAAAGGUCCUGGCUCAACCAGGGAC
rnacentral:rRNA from 1 species